rnacentral:misc_RNA from 1 species
AACGCACAUUGCGCCUUCUGGUAAUCCGGGAGGCAUGCCUGUCUGAGCGUCAUUACACCAUUCAAACCUAUCUUGGUUUGGCUCUGGGAGCUGGAAGAUACCUUUAGGUGGAACCCUCUCUUGUAAUGUAUUGACGUGUGCCCUAACUUGUCUUCUUAGUUGUAGCAAGGAUAUUUUCUUUCUCUCUCAACUUCAAGGUGACGGUUAAGGUGUCCUACUUUUACUUGCCCCCUCUUUGGGAUAUCAAAAGUUUGACCUCAGAUCAGGUAGGAAUACCCGCUGAACUUAA